rnacentral:misc_RNA from 1 species
GUUCCGUAGGUGAACCUGCGGAAGGAUCAUUCAUAAUAAAGUGUUUUAUGGCACUUUUUAAAAAUCCAUAUCCACCUUGUGUGCAAUGUUAGAUCUCGUCAAUCUUGGCGAGAUUUUUAUACAUCAACUCAUUCUUUAACUAAUUUGUCUGAAAAUAUUAUGAAUACUUAAUUCAAAAUACAACUUUCAACAACGGAUCUCUUGGCUCUC